GGAUGAGAUGGCUGGAUGGUAUCACUGACUUGAUGGACGUGAGUUUGAGUAAACUCUGGGAGUUGGACAAGGGAGCCUGGCAUGCUGCAAUUCACAGCGUCGCAAAGAGUCGGACACGACUGAGCGACUGAACUGAACUAUCUAUUACGUACAAUGCAGUAGAUCAGGAAGGAAACAGAUUACUAGGACUUGGUUGCUAUUUCACUAAGUUUAUAGUCUAAUCGAGGUUAAAAAAUAUAUAAAUAAAUUCAAAAAUUCAAGUUCUGAACACCUUAAAAAAAAAAAGAAAAGCUAUAGGCAAGAUAUUAUCUAAGUUUAGAGGACAAAAGACUUUUGGAUGAAAGAAAGGCUGAACUGGAAAACAAAAGGAUACAAUCAGGGAAGACUAUAGGAUAUAGGGCAUAUGAAUUGGGUACUGAAGGAAGAUUAUAAAUUUUAACAAGAGAUAAGAAAAUGGAGUGGAUAAGAGAAUACAAGGGUCAGCUAAUAUAUAAAAGGAAGGACACUCAUGGAAGGACACUUCCAUAAGUUCAUUAUUAUAAUGAUAAUGAUAAUUAAUAAUUAUGAAAGCCUAUGAAUACUAGGACUGGAGAUCUGAAAUUAACGUAGUAAAAACUGGGGGCAGAGAUGAGAAAAAGGUUAACUUUAUCACAGGAAUAACACAACAGGAACUGAAUUCCUAUUAAGGAAAUUUGAUGGAAGUGUUCAACACAGGCUGAGGGGACAGCAGAAAAGCAGACUCCAGUGUGUCUGAUACACUGAGGAGGGGAAGGGCAGGAAGGAUGGGAACAUGGCUGGGAGGGUUGGGCACUGUGGUGAAAUAGGAAAACAUAACUGAAGUCAGAUGGUUGAGAGCUUUGACUGCUGUGUUAAGGACCUUAUGAGUCUCCUUCCCAGCUAUCAGGGCUGUCGGCUAUCAAUCUGAGCUGCUAACAGCAAAGUCUCCACUUUCAACACUCCAGAAGUAAAUGUGAUAUUGAAUUGAAAGUCACUCAGUCGU
rnacentral:lncRNA from 1 species